UGCAAGUCGAACGCUGAAGCACCAGCUUGCUGGUGUGGAUGAGUGGCGAACGGGUGAGUAAUACGUGAGUAACCUGCCCUUGACUCUGGGAUAAGCCCGGGAAACUGGGUCUAAUACUGGAUGCUACAUGUCACCGCAUGGUGGUGUGUGGAAAGGGUUUACUGGUCUUGGAUGGGCUCACGGCCUAUCAGCUUGUUGGUGAGGUAAUGGCUCACCAAGGCGACGACGGGUAGCCGGCCUGAGAGGGUGACCGGCCACACUGGGACUGAGACACGGCCCAGACUCCUACGGGAGGCAGCAGUGGGGAAUAUUGCACAAUGGGCGAAAGCCUGAUGCAGCGACGCCGCGUGAGGGAUGACGGCCUUCGGGUUGUAAACCUCUUUCAGCAGGGAAGAAGCCACAAGUGACGGUACCUGCAGAAGAAGCGCCGGCUAACUACGUGCCAGCAGCCGCGGUAAUACGUAGGGCGCAAGCGUUGUCCGGAAUUAUUGGGCGUAAAGAGCUCGUAGGCGGUUUGUCGCGUCUGCUGUGAAAGCCCGGGGCUUAACCCCGGGUGUGCAGUGGGU
rnacentral:rRNA from 1 species